rnacentral:rRNA from 1 species
UGGGGAAUUUUGGACAAUGGGCGAAAGCCUGAUCCAGCAAUGCCGCGUGUGUGAAGAAGGCCUUCGGGUUGUAAAGCACUUUUGUCCGGAAAGAAAUCCUUGGCUCUAAUACAGUCGGGGGAUGACGGUACCGGAAGAAUAAGCACCGGCUAACUACGUGCCAGCAGCCGCGGUAAUACGUAGGGUGCAAGCGUUAAUCGGAAUUACUGGGCGUAAAGCGUGCGCAGGCGGUUUGCUAAGACCGAUGUGAAAUCCCCGGGCUCAACCUGGGAACUGCAUUGGUGACUGGCAGGCUAGAGUAUGGCAGAGGGGGGUAGAAUUCCACGUGUAGCAGUGAAAUGCGUAGAGAUGUGGAGGAAUACCGAUGGCGAAGGCAGCCCCCUGGGCCAAUACUGACGCUCAUGCACGAAAAGCGU